CGGCAUCGUGCCCUACCGCUGCCGGCCCUUGGCGGUGCUAUCCCCGGGCCUCCGCCCCGCAGCACGGCGGGCGCUACUGGGGGACUUUGCUGCCGUCCUCGGCCUCUCCAUGGGCGGGCGGGAGCGGGCCCUGGAUGCCCUGAGCAUCACCCACCACGCCCGGGCCGAUGUGAGAAGACACGGGCACCAUUCCCUUUGCCAUCGCACCAGGCAGCGUGUGUCGUGGUGAUCCCGAAGCUGCUCUAGAGGCCCCAGGCUUCCCAGCCAAGCCUGGGGUCACUGGCAUGUAAAAGGAUCCCGGCUCCAAAGGUUCAGGGAAGUGGGCAGGACGUACAGAUUCCACAUGUCUGAGCUGGAGGGAGAGAUGAACCAGUGAGACCCAUCCUGCUUAUAAAACAAACGUGGAGCAGGACAUGCUUUCUGUGGAGUCUGCUUGCCUACAUGAAAUACCUUGCGACAGGCAAGAGGAAGUUUUGCCUCAGGCACCUGUCUGGAAGUUACUGAAGAGUCCCACAAAAUCCCCGUAUUGUAUGCAGAAGAGCCUUUUCACUUCUUUGUGUGUCACAUUCAAUAUCUUGGGAUAUUUUUCAUGGAAAUUACUCUAAAUGAAGAGCUUUUCUACCUUCCUUUACUUCUGCCCAUUUGGUAUUGCAAUUGAUACUACUUUUAGAUUAUAGUAGCACUAAGACUUCAUGACCAUUUAUUUCAAACUCGAUGAUUACCCAUCACUAUUUCAUUUGCGUUUCAGGAAAAUAAUAAAAUAUUUUUAAAUAAUUUCCUAGUAAUCUCCUUCUAGUGUGUCGUAACGCCACAGUGAAUAUUCCAAGGUGCAUACAGAAAUUUAUUUUUGGUAGUAAUUAUAAUUGACUUUAUGUGAUCCAACAGUGGAACCAUGAAAACCAAAUUAUACAUAAUUUGAAUGCACUGAUUACAACCAGAAAAACCAUAUGAACUCU